UACAGAGGGUGCGAGCGUUAAUCGGAAUUACUGGGCGUAAAGGGCGUGUAGGCGGUCAUGUAAGUGGGAUGUGAAAGCCCUCGGCUCACCCGAGGAUCUGCAUCUCAAACUGCAUGGCUUGAGUAUGGGAGAGGAUGAGGGAAUUCCUGGUGUAGCGGUGAAAUGCGUAGAUAUCAGGAGGAACACCGGUGGCGAAGGCGGCAUCCUGGACCGGCAUUGACGCUGAGGCGCGAAAGCUAGGGGAGCAAACGGG
rnacentral:rRNA from 1 species